rnacentral:rRNA from 1 species
UACAGAGGCCUCGAGCGUUAGGCGGAAUCACUGGGCUUAAAGCGUGUGUAGGCGGACUGGUAAGUACCUUGUGAAAUCCCACAGCUUAACUGUGGAACUGCUCGGUAUACUGCUGGUCUUGAGCCACUCGAGGGGCUACCGGAAACAAAUGGUGGAGCGGUGAAAUGCGUAGAUAUGUGGAAGACACCGGUGGCGAAGGCGGCAUC